rnacentral:rRNA from 1 species
CAAGUCGUGCGCGAAAGGGGCUUCGGCCCUGAGUAGAGCGGCAAACGGGUGAGUAACACGUGGGUGACCUGCCUUCGAGUGGGGGAUAACGUCCCGAAAGGGACGCUAAUACCGCAUGACAUCCUGCCUUUGAACAGGUGGAGAUCAAAGCCGGGGUCGCAAGACCUGGCGCUUGAAGAGGGGCCCGCGCCCGAUUAGCUAGUUGGUGGGGUAAUGGCCUACCAAGGCGACGAUCGGUAGCCGGCCUGAGAGGGCGGACGGCCACACUGGGACUGAGACACGGCCCAGACUCCUACGGGAGGCAGCAGUGGGGAAUUGUUCGCAAUGGGCGCAAGCCUGACGACGCAACGCCGCGUGGAGGAUGAAGAUCUUCGGGUCGUAAACUCCUGUCGACCGGGACGAAUGCCGUGCGGGUGAAUAAUCCGCACGGGUGACGGUACCGGUGGAGGAAGCCCCGGCUAACUCCGUGCCAGCAGCCGCGGUAAUACGGGGGGGGCAAGCGUUGUUCGGAAUUACUGGGCGUAAAGGGCUCGUAGGUGGCCAACUCANUCGGACGUGAAAUCCCUCGGCUUAACCGGGGAACUGCGUCCGAUACUGGAUGGCUUGAGAUCGGGAGAGGGAUGCGGAAUUCCAGGUGUAGCGGUGAAAUGCGUAGAUAUCUGGAGGAACACCGGUGGCGAAGGCGGCAUCCUGGACCGACACUGACACUGAGGAGCGAAAGCCAGGGGAGCAAACGGGAUUAGAUACCCCGGUAGUCCUGGCCCUAAACGAUGAAUGCUUGGUGUGACGGGUAUCGAUCCCUGUCGUGCC